rnacentral:sRNA from 1 species
GCUGGGUGUGGUGGCGCACACCUGUAAUCCCAGCAGCUCAGGAGGCCGAGGCAGGAGGAUUGCAAGUUCCAAGCCAGCCUCAGCAAUAGCGAGGCACUAAGCAAGUCAGUGAGACCCUGUCUCCA